CAGCCGCCGCGGUAAUACCGGCGGCCCGAGUGGCGGCCACUAUUAUUGGGCUUAAAGCGUCCGUAGCCGGGUUGGUUAGUCUCCCGGGAAAUCUGGCCGCUUAACGGUCAGAAUUCCGGGAGAUACUGCCAGCCUAGGGACCGGGAGAGGCCGAGGGUAUUCCCGGAGUAGGGGUGAAAUCCUAUAAUCCCGGGAGGACCACCUGUGGCGAAGGCGCUCGGCUGGAACGGGUCCGACGGUGAGGGACGAAGGCCAGGGGAGCAAACCGGAUUAGAUACCCGGGUAGUCCUGGCUGUAAAGGAUGCGGGCUAGGUGUCGGGUGAGCUUCGGGCUCGCCCGGUGCCGUAGGGAAGCCGUUAAGCCCGCCGCCUGGGGAGUACGGCCGCAAGGCUGAAACUUAAAGGAAUUGGCGGG
rnacentral:rRNA from 1 species